GACAGAGGGUGCAAACGUUGCUCGGAAUUACUGGGCGUAAAGAGCUCGUAGGCGGUUUGUCGCGUCUGCUGUGAAAAUCCAGGGCUUAACCCUGGACCUGCAGUGGGUACGGGCAGACUAGAGUGCGGUAGGGGAGAUCGGAAUUCCUGGUGUAGCGGUGAAAUGCGCAGAUAUCAGGAGGAACACCGGUGGCGAAGGCAGAUCUCUGGGCCGUAACUGACGCUGAGGAGCGAAAGCAUGGGGAGCGAACAGG
rnacentral:rRNA from 1 species